CGUAGGACCCAAGCGUUAUCCGGAGUGACUGGGCGUAAAGAGUUGCGUAGGUGGUUUGUAAAGCGAAUAGUGAAAUCUGGCGGCUCAACCGUACAGGCUAUUAUUCGAACUCACAAACUCGAGAAUGGUAGAGGUAACUGGAAUUUCUUGUGUAGGAGUGAAAUCCGUAGAUAUAAGAAGGAACACCAAUGGCGUAGGCAGGUUACUGGACCAUUUCUGACACUGAGGCACGAAAGCGUGGGGAGCGAACCGGAUU
rnacentral:rRNA from 1 species